GCCAUUUGCUGCAAAUUCCUCUGUAUCAACUCCUAGAGAAGCUAGUAUUGCCGUGAUGCGGAGCUCUUCGUAUACAAAAGAUAGUGAGGGGUUUGUGGGUGGUAAGGAGUUUGAACUGCCUCAGAGAGCAUUUGUGGAUGACCUAGAUAAGGAAAAUUUAUAGGAAAGUGGUAUAGAUAACUUUCUACUCUCUAGGUCCGUGGCUGGCGUUGAUGAAGAAUUGUCUCAACAAUCCAUAGAUGAUGCUCAAAAUGACAGCUCUGUAGUUGUUUUAGCUGUGGUGAAUAAUCCAAGGGUGAAGCCUUUUGCCCAUUUGGCUAUGGAUGAUGAUUUUUUUGAGGAGCUGGUUGCUGGUGAUGAGGAUAGUGAGUUUAAGAGCAAGAUGGUGUCUUUUCAUAUGUAGCUAAGGUUCCUGGUAGUGAGAAUCUUGGGAGAGUUGUCAGUGCACCCUGAAUUAAGUCAAUGGGUAUAGAAGAAGGGGAAGAGGAAUCAUUUCCUGAGCCAUUGCCCCUGUGAUUUUUUUAAUGCUUCAGAUUCAGGUAAAUUUAUUGGAGUUGAGGAUGUGGGUUUGAGUGCUUCUGAAGAGGCACGUUUAGUGACAUAUGAAUCAGUUGAAGAUAAGGGUCAUGAUGUUACACAGGAGACUCACUUUGAGUCCUUUCUGAAAGGUAAAGAAUGUGAUUUUGUGGUUGUUAAUAAUAGUGUUGAGCAAGAACCAGACUUGAAGUUUCUGCAGGGAAAAUUAUUGAAUUGAGUGGUAGUGAUGGAAGAAAGAACACGGUGCCGAAAUAGGAAGUGGAAAUCCUUUUGAUCAAUGUGGUGACAAAGGAAACCUGGAAAGAAAAAUCUAGCCAGUAGUUGAUAUGGGAGUACAGUCUUAUGAACCAUUGGCAGCCAUCUCAAUCAUAUCCAAAGAUGGUCUUAUUGAAGGUAGGGAAGUUCAGGAUGCGGACUGCGAGGCUUCAGAACCAAAUUCAACUCUACAAGAUAGUAAUUUGUCUUCGACUAAUGAGGGUGAUGAGGUGCAAGAAUCAAGAGUUAAAUAGUUCUGGCUCCUUUGAAUAUGUAAAACAAACUUCUACUUCAGACCACGAAGUAAAACCAGAAGCGGAAGAUGAUGUUCAAAGACAGGAAGAGAAAAAAGUUUACCUUUUAAUCAAGAAGUUGAUGAAUUAAUUUUUGGAAGUUCAGCAGAGGAUUUUCAAGAUCAGUCACAGAGAGUUGAGGACAGAUCCUCCUGGACUUGGUUGAUGAUGUGGGCACUGAUAGGAAUUGCAAAGACAAUGAAUUAUUUGAUAAUGCCGUUUUGGCUGCUCUCUUGAAAGCUGCAACUAGUUCUGAGUCAGAUCAUGGUGGCCUUUCAGUUCCCUCUGGUUCCAGAUUAUUUACUCUUGAAAAUCCCUUUGGCUCAGUUUCCUCAGCUGCACCACUAAAUCUCAGAAAUGAUGUAUCAAAAGACGACUUCAGUGAUGAUGAAAAGAAGAGGAUUAAGAUGGUAAAACUCGAGAGUGAAAUUCUUGAUACUUGUUCAGAGAAAAGCCUACUCGCCAGAGAAUUCCCUUGUUGUACAAGUUUUAUACAAACUGGCUCUAGCUUUGGGGAGGUAUACUAGUGAAGUAUUUAGCCUUGAAUCAGCCAAAAGGGUUGCUAUGCAGUGUGAAGCAGAAGGUAAAAAUACAACCAUUAAUUCUAUUUUUGGAGAAGAGAAAACCAGUGUUAACACAUUUGAACCUGGAACUACUGUGAAACUUAUUGAUGGAAAUGUAGAUGGAGUUAAAGAUGAAAAUCCUUGACACACUGAACCUCAGAUCUCCUAUGGCAGAACAAACUAUCAACACGAGAAUAUUAGUUUCUAUAAAGAAGUUUAUAAAGCUCCCUCCAGGUGUUGUCCUUUAUGUUGAUCAAUUUGAUACCCAUACAAGAGAUUCUAAUAAUUUUCCAUUGUUAAGGUUAACCACUGGCUCUCUUGGUUCAUCACUAUGGCAAAAUGCUAUUGUGUGUUUGACUCAUGCUGCUUCUGAUCCCCCACAGGGACCAUUGGGGCUUCUGUUGGCUGUGAGGUUUUUGUUGCUCAAAUAUUCCAUGCUAUCCAGCGACAUUAUAGCCAAGCCUGUGGUAGUUUGCUUCUGAUGAACCCAGGUAUGAUGCAUCCAGUUUCUUAUUGAGAACCAUCCAUCCUUUCAAAAUAAUAGAUUUGGUAAAAGUGUUACUAGUUGCUUCUCAUUAAAGAUUUUAUCUGAAGCAAACCACUUUGCCAACACAUCAAGAUCUCUUCAAUUAUAAGAAGCUUUUUGUCUUCCCUCGUCCUGCAUAUCUGUCCUGCUUUCUUUGUCAUCAUUGUUUCAGUUUCACUCCCAUCCAAAACUCUCCACCGAUCAUGGUGGUGAUGAAGUUGACUCAGAUAAUGAAUUGGGUGAUUUAUCAGAUUCCAAACCAUAAGAUGAGGGUGAAUAGUACCAGUUUCCACCUUUCUAGCCUCUGAGGAAGUCUCAGGUUGCUAAGCUGAGCAAGGAGCAAAAGAAAUCCUAUUUUGAGGAGUAUGAUUAUUGGGUCAAGCUGUUCCCGAAAAAACAGUGGUUAUUCCUUCGUUGGUGAGGAGAAGUGCUUAUCCGUGAGCUAGAUGCUUAAACGAGCUAUAAACCGAACUAGCGACAAGCAGGUAGGAUAGUGACCAGGCCUGAUAUUGCUAGCCAGUUUCCUGGUGCAUUCAGAUUAACAAAGGAUAAAAAGGGACGUUUUGUCCAAUUAGAAUCCUCAGUUUCAGCGAAGCAUGGGGACAAAAGGAUCAGCCAUGGCAGGAUUUGACAAACAAACCCUUAGAAAGCAUAAGGCUGCUUACACUCUCAGAAGUGAAACAAAAUUCAGAACCUUCAAAAUAAACAAAACAUCUGCUGGAUUGUCAGUUACUUUAUUCAGUAAAAUUGCGGUAACUGGACCCUAAAAUUGAGGAUAUGAUUACUGUUGGAAGGGGCUUAGUAUUGGUAGAUGAUACAGCGUAUGGAGCCAACCUGGAACAGCACCAUAAGGAUAAAGAUUUUCUCGUAGAGCAGGACAAUUCCAGCCUAAGCCUGUGGCUUAUGAAUUGGAGAGAUGACCUAACUAUGGUGGCCAACCUACAGUUUCAGUUCUGCAUUGGAUUGGUAUGUUUUGGAUUGAAGGCCAAAAAUUGUAAAAUUAAGCAGCUCAGAGUAGCUACCAGUACCACUUGUUAGCAUUCUUCAUUUGUAAGCUGCUCCUAGUAGUCCUAGUUCUCAUGUUCAAUUUUGUUCCAUCUGCAAAACGCAGAAGUUAUUCUAGUGGGCCUGUAAUAUUAAUGAGAUGGAACCUAUUUUGAAUAGAUGUGCAUUUCAUCA